rnacentral:lncRNA from 1 species
CCUCCUCCGAACCUUGAAGGAUUUAUGAAAUUUGUUAGAGAUACAAUGUAGAUUAUGGUGUAACUUGUACUUUGGCAUAUCUUCUUUUAGUUUUUUCCCUUUUAAUGGUGGUAUUAGUACCUUGUUGUGCUCAUUCCAUUGGGGGAGGAAGACUAAGAAAGAUAUGCCAUUUUUGGUAAUAAAAAUUAUAAGACAUGUCUUUGAAUAUCUUUUUGCAAUAUUUUUUUGUCUUUAACUUGCAAUUAUUUAUAAGCUAUAUAAGGUAAUAUAUAUACAUAAUAUACAAUAUAUAUUAUUAGAAAAUAUAUAAGGGAAUAUAUAUACAUAACAUACAAUAUAUACUACAAGAAAAUAUAUAAGGGAAUAUAUAUACAUAACAUACAAUAUAUACUACAAGAAAAUAUAUAAGGGAAUAUAUAUACGUAACAUACAAUAUAUAAUAUUAGAAAAUAUAUAAGGUAAUAUAUAUACAUAACAUACAGUAUAUACUACAAGAAAAUAUAUAAGGUAAUAUAUAUACAUAACAUACAAUAUAUACUAUUAGAAAAUAUAUAAGGUAAUAUAUAUACAUAACAUACAAUAUAUACUAUUAGAAAAUAUAUAAGGGAAUAUAUAUACAUAACAUACAAUAUAUACUACAAGAAAAUAUAUAAG